rnacentral:tRNA from 1 species
GGCUAGCUCAGUUGGUAGAGCAUGGGACUCUUGAUCCCAGGACUGUGGGUUUGAGCCCCAUGCAGCCA